UUCAUUGUUUACAAAUUAAACAGCUGCACUACUCGUUUCGUUUCGUGUUGUGCAAUUGUAUUUGUGUGAAGUAUUCCCUCCACAAAAUAAAAAUAAAGCAAAAGAGAUGACCACACUCUUAGCGCUAAGAGGACUGAGUAGAACGUGGAGGGGUGUAGCAACAAAAACUUCUGUUAUAAAACCAAAGGGAAUGGCACCUUACCUCAGGUCCUCAAAUGAAAUAAGCCGGUCGAUCGGAAGCACAACAACCGCCGUAAGGCAAAGGGAACAACAACAGCAGCAACCAACCCAAACCAACAAUGAAGAUGAAUGGCGUACCAUAUAUAGAUUACCAUUGAUACGCUUGGCUUCCGCCUUUAAUCGUGUUAAAAUCCCCUAUGGUGUCUUCAAUGCAUUGAGUAUACCCGGUGCCUUUGCCCUGGAACAGGCAUCCCAGUUGCCACCAUCCACCGCCACAUUGUUUGCAGCCGUUGGUCUUACCUCAUGGAUGACACUAUCCAUUUGCAGUAUGCUGACAAAAAAUCUGGUGGGCAUUAUGUACCUCAACGAUGACAAUGACAAACUGAAAUUGGCCUACAUUGAUUUUUGGGGUAAACGUAAUGAUGUUGUCAUCGAUUUGGAUGAUUUGGUGCCCGAAAAUGAAAAGAAACGACCAUCGAAAUUUGAUUGGUAUCAAACGUUGACACUGUACAGUAAUGAUAAGGUGAAGUUUAAGCUAUUGCAACGUUUCGGCCAGGUUGAAGAUCCCGAAGCGUUUGUGGCGAUAUUUGGAGAAUAGGGAGGGAGAAAGAGAGGGAGGUUAAGGUAAAAAUAAAUGUUGUUUUUGAAAAGAAAAAUUAUUCAAAAAUUUGUUGGUUAAUUUCUGCAAAGGGAAAAAGAGAGGACCGGGUGUCACAGGAACCUAUUGUAAACUAAGGGUGUAAUGGUCCUUAUAGGACAGCGGCUAACUCGGUCAUACUCUAGGGUGUGUUCCCAACCCAUACCCAUAGUUUCCGAUGUAUCACCGCAUCCUUAGUCUGAUAGCCCGUUUCCUGCCCUCCCAUCCAUGAUCACUUUAUCCCUUUUCAACGUUUUAGUGACCCCAAUUACCGCCCCAUCACAUCACUUACCUCACCUGUCGUUUCCUCCAACAAUUAGUUUAGCAUACCAUAUUUUUCGUUCGUCUCA